ensembl:lncRNA
AGUCUUACAGUGGAAGUUUUGCUGCCCUGAUCCCUGCCUGGAAGUUCAGGGACGUGAGAAGCAUGGGAAGACUGACUGGCAGUGAAGAUUAAGGCAAAGAACCCAGUAAGUGCCUUAGCCUUCUCCAUGUCUGUUGAAGCCACUUCAUAUUUGUUGGAGGAGACUCUGAGAUGACAUUUUCCCUGACUGUAUUAUCAUCAUUCAACAACUCCAUUGGGUCAACAAGAAAGGUACAGAUAAUGCACAGCAAGAAGUCCAAAAGAAAGAAGAUUAAACUGUAAUGUAAUGCGAUAAAAGAAGAAGUGAUUUACGUAAAGACCCCUUCCUUUCAGUUGGAUAAAAAAAGUCAUGAAGACUAAUGAAAUAAGAGCAGGGGAUAUUUUGGGAACAGUGGUAUACUGUGUUUGUGAUGGAAGAGAGAAGCACUCACAGGACAUCUGCAGCAUUACUUUAAAAUAUUAAAGAAGUGGACAGAUCAUACAAUAGAAAGUUAUUUAACUGUUCCUGCAAGGUCUUCUGGAGCAGCUGCCCCAGCAUCUUCUCUGAAUGUCAAGCCUGAUUCAAAACAGAGCCAAAGAAGUGGUUACUGCUUCUUAUUCAUUCUCUUUUUUUUUUCCUUGUCUUAUUUUCUUAGCUGUUCCAAAAUCUAUUUACAUAGAUUUGAGUAAAAGAACAUAAAAGAACAUGAUGUCCCAGUUUGCUCUCAUCCUGUAUUUGAAAAAAUAAGACUUUGUCGUUACAGUUUGUUUGCUUUUUAUCACAUUGGUUUCAAAGGGAAAAUGUAAUACACCCACAAGCAUAUGCACAUACACUGUCACCUUGGAGAUUUAAUACUGUAAGUGGGAGAGCAGUCAUGUACUGAAAUUCAGAUAAUACGCUCAGCCAGGACUACUCUGAGCAUUUUAAGUAUGUGUAUUUAAUGUGAUUUUUACUGAUAAUUACACUAGCUUUAUGAGGUCCUCUACCAUCUCCUUUGCACUGAAACUGGAUGAAGGGAACCAUACAGCUCUUUUACACACUAUAAGAGAGAUUCAGGUUGUCAUAAACAGUGACAUUUUCUUGCAUUAUAUUGUCUCAAUAGGGUUCUGAGCUAGCUUGUAGCACACUAGUGCUCCACUGAGCCACUUAUGUGUUCCCAUUUGUUUUCUCUUCAACUCUCAGAAGAGGAAUACUUAUCAGGAGUACAAUGACUAAGUCACAAUAAUUCAUUUCAGAAAAAUGACUUUUUAGCUUUAGAACUGUUUGCUUCCUCUGAUUCAAAUAGGAGAAGGGACAAAACAGAAAGGAAUAAAUCAUAAGACAGUAGGUAUGACAACUACUCACCUUAAAUUGUCCCUACCUAACACAGUUGUAAACCUCAGAAAAAUAAUAAUCUCCAGAAGGAUUACUUCCAAAGAAAUAACUUACUUUUCAUCUAUAAUAAUGAAUUCUCAUUAUUUCCUAUAUAUGAGGCCCAUUAUCAACUUUUCUUACUUUCCAAAAGAAGAUAUCCACGUGGCAGUAAUCUUUUUAACAAUAGUUUCCAUUCUGUUCUGGAACGCUACUAGGGAGAAUGCUGGUUGACGUAAGCUAAAUAUGUCCUAGCAAUCAUUUCUAGCAAUAUAAUCAGGCAAGCUGUAGCAUUCCAGUGUCUGGGAACUGCCUGUCAUUCUUCAGUUUAUUAGAAUAGGCUUUCUUUUACUUUAUCUAUCACACAAGUGCAGCAUGUGCAUUAACAUAUUAAAUUACUAUAUGCCUUUACCAGCCCAGUGCUACACAAAACGAAACUAGUUGAGUACUACAGCGAGUCUGAGGUUUACCCCAAAUAAUUCAAAUAUAGAACCAAAGUAAGCAAAAACUCUGGCAAAAUUACACCAUACAGAGUAUAUGCAUUUUGGUCUAAGUCAGCUAGUGAAGCUAAAAAAGAGAUCUAGGCCUACCCACGAUUCUACGUCAGGACUUCACCUGCUAUUUUUCAUGGUUCUCCUCUGAAGCUUGCAGAUGUAUUACCUUGGUAGAACUGAGGGAAUUUCUGUCCCUUUUGUAGUGCUGUGUACAAUGCAGGAAUUCUCUGACUUUCCCAGCCAAAAAUUUGCAGUUCAAUCAUUAGGCGUAAAGUGAGUGAGACAGAAAUGUGGGUAGAGUUACAAAUGUCUUCUUAUUUUCCAGAUGUUUAUAUAAUUUUGAUAAGAUUUAAAAAAAGAUGACUAUUUCUUCAAAAAUCAAACUUGCAACUUUCUGAUAAUAUUUUUCUUUUUAUGUUUACUCAUAAUAGCCUAUUUGUAAUAUGAAGAAAAGAUUUCUAUCCAAUAAAUAUAUAUGAGG